AUUGAACGCUGGCGGCAGGCCUAACACAUGCAAGUCGAGCGGAUGAAGGGAGCUUGCUCCUGGAUUCAGCGGCGGACGGGUGAGUAAUGCCUAGGAAUCUGCCUGGUAGUGGGGUAUAACGUCCGGAAACGGGCGCUAAUACCGCAUACGUCCUGAGGGUGAAAGUGGGGGAUCUUCGGACCUCACGCUAUCAGAUGAGCCUAGGUCGGAUUAGCUAGUUGGUGGGGUAAAGGCCUACCAAGGCGACGAUCCGUAACUGGUCUGAGAGGAUGAUCAGUCACACUGGAACUGAGACACGGUCCAGACUCCUACGGGAGGCAGCAGUGGGGAAUAUUGGACAAUGGGCGAAAGCAUGAUCCAGACAUGCCGCGUGUGUGAAGAAGGUCUUCGGAUUGUAAAGCACUUUAAGUUGGGAGGAAGGGAAGUAAGUUAAUACCUUGCUGUUUUGACGUUACCAAAAGAAUAAGCACCGGCUAACUUCGUG
rnacentral:rRNA from 1 species